AGGGCUGUGGCUCAGGGGGACUGAGCAUCUGGUUGGCGUGCAGACAACCCCGGGUUCUAUUCCCGGCAUCCCCA
rnacentral:tRNA from 1 species